rnacentral:pre_miRNA from 12 species
UCUGGUCAGGCGUGGAACUUAGUUGACUUCUGAACAGAGUCUUUCAAGCGUGUUCACAGUGACUAAGUUCUUCUCUCGAG